UCUAGAGGCUUCGGCAAUGGGGGCAACCCUGACCGAGCGACGCCGCGUGUGGGAUUGAAGGCCUUCGGGUCGUAAACCACUGUCAAGAGGGACGAAUACUUGGAUGGCGAAUCCGAGGGAGACGGUACCUCUGGAGGAAGCCCCGGCUAACUCCGUGCCAGCAGCCGCGGUAAUACGGAGGGGGCAAGCGUUGUUCGGAUUUACUGGGCGUAAAGGGUGUGUAGGCGGUUGCGUAAGUCUGGUGUGAAAUCUUCACCGCUUAACGGGAAGAGGUCACUGGAAACUGCGUAACUCGAGUAUGGUAGAGGCAAGCGGAAUUCCUGGUGUAGCGGUGGAAUGUGUAGAUAUCAGGAAGAACACCGGUGGCGAAGGCGGCUUGCUGGGCCAUCACUGACGCUGAGACACGAAAGCGUGGGGAGCGAACG
rnacentral:rRNA from 1 species